AAGUGAAGGCGUCCUGUCGGGAAAGGGGACUCAGGGAGAGGUGUAAAGCCAAGGUUUCCGGAGCCAGAUGUGUGUGCCAAACUCCAUCACUCACCGGCCGAGCAACCUGGGCACAGGGCUCCACAGUCUGGGUCUCUGUUUCCCACCUCUUGCUUGUUUGAGUGUAAUUCCUGAACAGGCCUGAACACAGCAUCUGGAAUAGACUGUGACUGCACCUCACUCUGUUUGUUCUGCAGGAUUUAUCAGACAUGUAUCUGCACCAACCAAAGGGACAUGGUCCAAGUCCUGUGCCUGCAGGAGGAGCUUCCACUGUCCCCAGCAUGCUCCCAUCUGAGGGUCCAGCAGCACUCACCUGGGAGGUAUGAGGGGGAGGAGCAGAAGAAGGUCAAGGGUCAUCCCAGACAAUGGAGCCAAACAGAGAGCCAUUCUGGAAAAGGUCAUCUUUGUGCAUCAUCGCUGAAAAGCAUCUUUCUCCCGGCCCCUUGGCAGGAAAAGUUGUAAGACAUUACGCUGGAAAGAGGGUGUGUUUGUCCAUUUCCCACUGCCAUAAUAAGAUGCAGAAGUUGGGUCUUAUUAUUAAAAAGAGAAAGAUUUAUUUCACUCAUGAUUCUGGAAGUUUUUGGUCCUGUGCCAGCAUCUGCUUGCCUCUGUUAAGGACCUCAUGAGGACCUCGCUGACAAUGGCAGCUCAGUAGAAGGGACGUGUAAAUGAGAUUACACAGAAGACCGGAUGCUAGAGAGAGGCAGGGACAGAGUCAAGUGCUUAAUUUUGUUUAGCUGUAAGCUGUCACUAUACCUCCCAGGCUGGUGAAAACCUACAAGCUCAGGAGAUCCUCCUGCCUCAGUGUCACAUACAGCUGGGACCAUAAGCAGGUAGGUGCCAUGGCAUCUGGCUUCAAGCUUGGUGUUUUUAAGCACCUCAGCCAUGUGGGAACUAGUGUUUCAAGAGAGGUUUAUUAGUUCCUUCCAGGGCCACACUCCUAGACCCAACCAUCUUCCACUAGGCCCAACCCUUAAAGCUUCCAGGUUGAGGACGCCUUUCUAAGGACCAAGCUUCCAGCAUGUCAGUCAAUUUUGGGGAGCAUGCUCAAGACCCAGACACAAAGAGCCAGGGAUGUCUUUUCACUACAGGUGGGAGGAGCUUCCCGGGAUAACUCCUUCACUGUCACACAAUGUCCCAGCGUGUUAAGGCCUUUGUACCUACCUUAGUCCCUACAAUAACGCCAUGGAACAAAGAACCCCAAAGCCUCACAGACCAAGAAAAUUACAUGUUUACUCUUGUUCAUUGGCUGAGGGUCGACAGAGGUGGCUCUGGGCAACCAGCUGAGGUCAGCUCUGCUGUAUGUCUUGAGUUUGUGGACCACUUCUAAGAGGCUAUUUAUUUUGUUUUGUUUUAAAGAUUUUUUUUAUUUAUUUAUUUUAUAUAUAUGAUGAGUACAUUGUAGCUGUCUUCAGACACACCAGAAGAGGGCAUUGGAUCCCAUUACAGAUGAUUGUGAGUCACCAUGUGGUUGCUGGGAAUUAAACUCAGGAUUUCUGGAAGAGCAGUCAGUGCUUUUAAUAGCACCAGCCCAUUUAUUUUGUUUUUAAUAUUUUAUUGAUUUUUAUUUUAUGUGCAUGGGUAUUUUGCUCACAUCUAUGUCUGUGAAAUAGGUGUGUGUCCAGU
ensembl:lncRNA